CAACUUUCAGCAACGGAUCUCUAGGCUCUCGCAUCGAUGAAGAACGCAGCGAAAUGCGAUAAGUAAUGUGAAUUGCAGAAUUCAGUGAAUCAUCGAAUCUUUGAACGCACCUUGCGCUCCUUGGUAUUCCGAGGAGCAUGCCUGUUUGAGUGUCAUUU
rnacentral:rRNA from 3 species